CAGAAAGACGCACAAGGAAACACUCC
rnacentral:piRNA from 1 species